UAUCUUCCUAUAUUAUAUUCUCUAUAUAGACUGCAUGCCGCCGCGACCGUCGAUCACACUCAUUUCUUUGCAGUUCUCAACUAGCACUUGAUCACAACAAGAUAUCACAAUUAGAGUAAAAAUGCCGAAGCGAUGCCGAAGCGAUGCAGAAGCUUGCAUUUUUCCCCCUCCAAAAAAAAGAAGCAACCAAGUCGAUCAAAUCACAUUGCAUCACAGGAGGCUGCACCUGAGGAUGAGGGGUCUGGCCCAAGCACCGAACCAAUCCACCAUGCAAACCACGUCGCAUCACAGGAGGCUGCACCUGAGGAUGAGGGGUUUGGCCCAAGCACCGAACCAAUCCACCAUGCAAACCACGUCGCAUCACAGGAGGCUGCACCUGAGGAUGAGGGGUCUGGCCCAAGCACCGAACGCAUCCACGAAGCAGGACCUGAGAUACUACAUAUUGGACCAAUGUCCAAAAUAUGUCCUUAUUGUGAUGCAAUGCGGUUCCCAAAUGAGUCACUGAAUUGUUGUCAUGAUGGAAAAAUAUGUUUGCCGGAACUAUUACCAUACCCAAAUGCUCUAGCAACAUUGCUCCAAGGAGACUCCAGUCAAUCUAAACAUUUCCGAUACAAUAUCAGAUACUACAAUUCAUCAUUUGCUUUCGCAUCGAUGGGAGCAAUGAUGGCUCCUCCACCAGGAAGAGGACCAUACUGUUUUCGUAUACACGGGCAAAUAUAUCACCGGUCAGGAUGCUUACACCCUCCACCAGGUGAGCCCCCCAAAUAUGGACAGGUGUACAUACUAGAAGGAAAUCUGGCAACAUCAACUAGGAUUCAACAACACCCACAAUGUAACCAAAGCACCAUGGAGACAAUUCAACAUAUCAUAGAGGAAACAAGCCCUUAUGCUGCAGCGUACAAGUGCAUGAAGCAAGUAGAAGAUGAACAAAUGCAAACAAGUGACCCUCAAACUCCCGUGCCAUCUGUGAAGAUGAUUUUCAAGCGAGGCUCUGAUCAACGCAGAUACAACCUUCCCACAGUUGAUGAGGUGGCAGCAGUUUUUGUGGGAGAAGAUGGUAUGCCUCCGGAUCAGAGAGACUUUGCAGUCUAUCCAAAAAACCAUCAUCUGCACAACAUUAGCUGUCUAUCAGCGAAUAUUGAUCCCAUGACCUAUCCACUUCUUUUUCCCAGGGGAGACCUUGGAUGGAUGCCAAACAUGUUACACAGACCAGAGAAACGCACUAAGAAGAGGAUUAAUGUAACAUUCCUGCAGUUUUAUUCCUUUCGUUUGGCUGUCAGACAGAGCUUUAGUGCGAUCCACCGAGGAGGCAAACUAUUCCAGCAGUAUAUUGUAGAUGCUUAUGUUAAGACAGAGGCCAAUCGCUUGCAGUAUGUGAAAAACAAUCAAAAGCAGUUGAGAGUUGCAAAAUAUCAAGGGCUGAUGGACCACUUACACAAAGAAGCCGAUCAUGCCAACUUGCCUCUUGGAAAAGUUGUGGUACUCCCCUCUACCUUUCAUGGAAGUCCACGAUGUAUGCAACAGAACUACCAAGAUGCGAUGGCUAUUGUUGCAAAGUAUGGCAAGCCAGACCUCUUCCUAACCUUUACCUGCAAUCCCAAAUGGGAUGAGAUCAAGGAAAACUUGCUACCAGGGCAAACAAGCUCUGAUCGCCCUGACAUUGUAGCACGAGUAUUCAAACAGAAACUGAACAACCUCCUCGCAGACUUGCGUCAACACCAUGUACUUGGACGUCCCAUUGCUUGGAUCUACGUCAUUGAGUUCCAGAAACGAGGUCUCCCACAUUGCCACAUGCUACUGAUGCUCAGUGAAGACACAAAAAUGAGAAAUCCAGAAGACAUUGACAAUUUGAUCAGUGCUCAAAUACCAGAUCCUGAUGAAGAUUCAGUCCUUUACAACAUCAUCAAGGCAACAAUGGUACAUGGUCCAUGUGGAACUUUGAAUCCUAAAUCUGUAUGCAUGGAUGAUGGAAAGUGCCAGAAAGACUUUCCAAAGAACUUUCAAGCAGAAACCCAAGUGAGCAGUGAUGGAUACCCCCUCUAUGCACGACCUGACAAUGGAAGAACACUGACAAUCAAGAAUGCAGAAUUAGAUAACAGGUGGAUAGUUCCAUACAGUCCUUACUUAUCAAGGAAAUACCAAGCCCACAUCAAUCUUGAAGCAUGUAUGUCGGUCAAAAGCGUAAAAUAUCUGUUCAAGUACGUCUACAAAGGCCACGACUGCGCAAGCGUGGAAGUUCAACCAGAGACUACCUUCAACCAUGAUGAAGUUUCCCAUUUUCUCAACACAAGAUAUGUAAGUGCACCAGAAGCUAUGUGGCGCUUAUCAGAGUACAAGAUGCAUGCCCAGUCACACACAGUUCAUCGCCUUCCUGUUCAUCUGGAAGACCAACAAAACGUAUACUUCACUCAAGGAAACGAAGAGAGCGCACUUGAAAGAGCUCAAUCACAUAAAACACAGCUUACAGCAUGGUUUGAACUCAAUGCCUCUGAGCCAGAAGCUAAUCAGUUUCUAUAUGUUGACAUAGCUCAACAUUAUGUGUGGGACAUGACCAAAAAAAAAAUGGAAGAAAAGACAAAGAAAAACUAAUACAAUUGAUAGGAUGUACUCAGUUAGCCCUACAGAUCAAGAGCGAUUUUAUCUCCGCAUUCUUUUGCUCCAUGUACCCGGUGCUAAAAGCUACACUGACUUAAAAACAGUGGAUGGAAUUGAAGCACAAACAUUCAAGGAAUCCUGCAAACUACGUAAUUUGUUAGAUGAUGACUCCACAUGGCAAGACACUUGGUGUGAAGCAGCAAACUUCAAAAUGCCACAUCAACUACGCUUCAUGUUUGCAACAAUCCUUGCCAACAACCUACCAAAUGAUCCAAGCAGCUUAUGGCAACGACACAAACACUCAAUGACUGAAGAUCUAUUGAGACGAUAUUCUAUUCAGCUUGCAGAACAAGUAGCACUCCAACACAUCGACAGCAUUCUUCGGGCUUAUGGUCUGUCCUGCUCUGGAUUUCAACUUCCACUUGACAACAACAUCCCAGACGUACCUGUAGAGUCUGCACCUAACCUGCUUGAUGAUACCAAUCUCACCUUGAACCAAGAACAACAAGCUGUUGUUGACGCUAUCAUGGACUGUCUUCAAAAUGGACAAGCACAGCCAGAACCAUCUGUCUUUUUCAUGGAUGGUCCAGGCGGAACUGGCAAGACAACUGUUUACAACAGACUGAUCUCAUCUUUUCAUGCUAUGAACUUGGAGGUAUCUGCAACUGCUUUCACUGGCAUCGCAGCAACAUUGUUACAUCAAGGACAAACUCUUCACAGCUUCUUCAAGCUACCAGUCCCCAUCACAGAUGGAUGUACCUGCAACAUCUCAUUUAGCUCUACGCAAGCUAACAUCAUCAAAAAUACAUAAUUGUUCAUCAUUGAUGAGGUGUCUAUGGUCCCUAAGCAUGCACUUGAUGCUAUUGACAUGUGUUUACGAGACAUAAUGCAGUGUGAUAUUCCAUUCGGAGGCAAGAUAUUUCUAUUGGGAGGUGAUUUCAGGCAGGUGCUUCCUGUAAUCCCACGAGCACGACCAGCAACUC